UACGUAGGGCGCAAGCGUUGUCCGGAAUUAUUGGGCGUAAAGAGCUCGUAGGCGGUCUGUCACGUCGGAUGUGAAAGUCGGGGGCUCAACCCUCGAAUGCCGGUGGAUACUGUCGGGCUAGAGUGCGGAAGAGGCGAGUGGAAUUCCUGGUGUAGCGGUGAAAUGCGCAGAUAUCAGGAGGAACACCGGUGGCGAAGGCGGGUCUCUGGGCCGAUACUGACGCUGAGGAGCGAAAGCGUGGGGAGCGAACAGG
rnacentral:rRNA from 1 species